rnacentral:rRNA from 2 species
GUGCCUAACACAUGCAAGUCGAACGAGAAAGUGGAGCAAUCCAUGAGUAAAGUGGCGACCGGGUGAGUAACACGUGACUAACCUGCCCUUGAGUGGGGGAUAACCUCGGGAAACCGGGGCUAAUACCGCAUAACAUCGCAAGAUCAAAGGAGCAAUCCGCUGAAGGAGGGGGUCGCGGCUGAUUAGUUAGUUGGUGAGGUAACGGCUCACCAAGACGAAGAUCAGUAGCCGGCCUGAGAGGGCGCACGGCCACACUGGAACUGAAACACGGUCCAG